CAUAAAGAGGUGGAUGUUCCUUGUCCCAAAGGCUUCCUCUUACCAUUCAAGGGUUUUUUUAAAUACACAUUAAAAGGUAAAGUUUCUGCCAUGCACUGAAGGUCAUCCAAAAAAGGUUUGCUAAGGGAUCAAAAGGAAAAAGUUUCCAGUGUCAUAACAAGCUUAGACAAAAACUCCUCUCUCCAGCCUUCAGAAAAUCAAAGAAUCACGAUCUUGGGAAAGACCUUAAAAACCAUUACUGACGGUUCCCCCUACACCCAUGGUGUAAUGCCAGACUUUCACUGGUCCACGUGAAGUUGGAAAAAAGAAAAAAACCAACAUAGCUGCUCGACACUGCUGGACAAAUUACACACAGAUGCUGGAUGGUACCACUCCAAUCGAAGGGCUCCAGUCUCCAAGGAGCAAUGAGUGGAGGUUAGCAAUUUUAUAACUUUCUCUAGUCUAGUGUAUUUUCCAUCCCCUAAGCAGUUAUUCUAAAAACUUUCCCAGCAUGGAGUUUAACUUAAGUCUAUUCUGCUGUCAUGAUCUCAUAGAGCUAUUAAGAAAGGGGAUUUUGAAAUCUGCUGAUAUGGUGGCUUGAAUUGUGUCCAUAGCUGGGGUUUAGACUGCAUAGUGAGGGGAAUGGGGGAAUCUGCAGAUCCCUUCAAGCAGAUUUCUUGUAAGGCACAAUGAUGUUGAGCUAAUAACAGAGCCUUAAUCAUCGGCGCAUUCUCAGGGAUUCUGAGAAUAGCAGGUGGGUAUUAUUUAAAUGUGUCCUUGUAUCCCUAAGCCAGUCCUUGCUGCUUGUCUGUAAACAAGGGAGAAAGAGGCUGUGAGUAAAAACUGAAAGAACAGUUUCUCUUCAUAUUGCAGCCCAUCAAGGCCUGGGUAACACAGCUUUGGAGCAUGCCAGCACAGAGACUCAGAGAAGCCAGGUGGCUGCAGGUCAGAAAACAUGCUGGGAAGGACUGUGGCCCAGAGGAGCUGCAGAGCAUCAGAGGAGUGACCUUUGUACCCGGUCAUGCAGCAGCCACCCACUCAGGCCACUGGCAGAAACCCGUGAUAAACCUGAACCAAACCAGCCUUGAAACUCUGUUGAAAGGGAAAGAAGAUAUUCAGGCUGCAUCUGCAACUAAUUCAAAAGAGUCUCCUCAGGCCAGUGUGAGUAACCCCAAUGGAGUGACCACUUCGUUAUCAGGCACUUCCAAGUCAGCACGGCACGGUUUGAUGUUCAAGAUAAAUGGGUCCAGAUCCUAGCUGCCAUUCUCUGCCCUCCCUGUGAAAGCUGGAACGCGUUAUUAGUCCCAAAUUCCUCAUCAGCUGGGGACGAAAUACCAUCAUCUCAAAGGCUUGAUGUGAAAAACCAAUGACAUGAGCACUGGGUAGGCGGUUGAUAAAAGAAUCAUCUUUUUCCCACUAAAUGUUCUUUCAUUUUGAUAAACUGUAUCUAAUGUUUCUAGGCUGAGUGCAGAGGCUCACACUGGUAAUCCCAGCACUUUGGGAGGCCAAGGCGGGUGGAUCACUUGAGGUCAUGAGUUCGAGACCAGCCUGGUCAACAUGGUAAAACCCUGUCUCUACUAAAAAUACAAAAAUUAGCCAGGUGUGGUCAUGGGUACCUGUAGUCCCAGCUACUCAGGAGGCCGCGGCACGAGAAUUGCUUGAACCUGGGAGGUGGAGGCUGCAGUGAGCCAAGAUUGCACCACUGCACUCCAGCCUGGGUGACAGAGUGAGACAGAGACACUGUCUCAAAAAUAAAUAAAUAAAUAAAGCUUCAGGCUGGUCCUCAAUACCAAGAAGGAUGAAAUUCACUUUGAGUUUUUGGUUAGAAGUUCUCCCAAAAUAUUAUAUCUCCCUACUCCUUGAGCACUGCAGGUCCCUGGCCCAGAGAAGAGCAACUGAGCAAAGCAUACAGCAGCCUAAACCCAAUACAUUGAAUCAAAAGACAGCUCUUUUUAGGAUUUAUUUUUAACUCCAAUCUCUCUCUUUCUCUUCUCCCCAAAGUCGUAAAAAACGGAUGUUUUUACGAGUGUAGCAAGAAGUCGACCUUAAGAAAAAGUCCAUUCGCUCACUCGCUGUUCUAAGUGUUGAAAGGGAUAUAAGGAUGAAUUACAAAAGCAAGAAAAAAAGAUUGGUUGGAUUAUGAAAUUCCAUAAAGAAAAGCUCGAGUAAAAAAUCUUAACCCCAAACUACAUUUCCUCUCCAAAGCCAGACCAAUGAAACUUUGAACAAUAACAAGAUUUUAGUUUUGAAGUUCAUUUAAGGCAUUUUUUUUAAAGAAUUGGUUUGUGAGCUUUUCUACUUUGUCUUAUAAAAGACAAUGAACUUUAUGUGUGACUUUCCAUCAGAGUUUGCAGAUGUGACUCAAGGGAGUUAAUGACUUUUUCUUUUCAAUUUCACCUAGCAAGAUAAAACAGAACUGUCCAGGAGUUUUCCUAUAGCCGAGUGACGGGUCAAUACCUUGCUACUUGCUCUGUCAAUUCCAUCAAAAUAUUGUUUAAUAAUUUAGGAACGACCAUGUAAUUUUCUUCUCCAGCAAGAUCAAAUUAGGCACUUACUAAAUAAUUGACCAAAAUGCCUUAAUUCUAGGGAUGUCUUGAGAAUGUGCUAUUAUUCAAAAGGAAUUUAAAAUAAAAUUUUCUUUCACCUGUUCAACAUGAAAAUGAAGGGACUUUCAUUUUCAUGCUAUUUUCAUGCCUGAUCAUAUCUUGAAAGCUCUAUCAGAGUUCGUCCCCUCAAUCCUGAUUUCCUUAUACCAAGGUGGUCCACAAGUGAACAUAUCAAGUACACGUGUGCUGUUCUUGGUCAAGACUACUUGGAAAAGUGGCUGGGGCUUAAGUGGGUUAGACAGAGCCCCUCCCCUCUAGACCUGUCCCAACCAGGAAUGCAAACAGAGGCACCAAGAAGUUUGAGUCCUUAGAGUUUUAGUCUCAAAUAAUGAGACAUUCUCAUCAAGGUACUGAGACUUGUAACCCUUUGCCCUGGCCAACUGCCAAAGCAGCUGCUCACUCAUCAUCAGGCUCUAGGGCGGAGGACUAUCUGUUCCAUCAGGUGUUCUCCUUAAUACCCCAUUUGUGGACAUUCAAACAGUUUACUUGACACUUAACUACCAAAAUGCCCUGAGUAAGCAUAUGAUGCAUAGGGCAGCAUAUUAACACAUGACUUCACAAGUUAGAAGUUUGGGGAAAGAGUAGUACCAGGUCUUUCUGCCCCUAUUUCAACAGUCAUUUUCUAAAAUGUUCUCUUCUUACUGUAUUCUCCCAAAAGGUAGAGUCCAAUAAUAAUAUGCUAAAUUAUUCAAAUAAGAGCCAUCUCUCUCUCUCUCUCUGUCUCUGUCUCUCUCUCUCCCCCCUCCCUCCCUCCCUCCCCCCUAGCAUUUCCCAAUUGACCUACUACUGAGGGAAUUGGGGAGAGCCUCAGUCAGCCUCUCCAAUACCAUCUUCCUUCUGCCUGACUCAUGAACACUGCAGCCUCCUCAGGAGCUAACAUUUCUUCAGUUCUCAUUAUGUGUUGAGUACUGUCUGGCCCCACUGGCAGCAGAGUGAGGGGUUGUUCCAGAAUCCUCAGUUACAGAGACCCAAAAGUCUUUCUGCAUUAUUCUAGGGACUUAUACACAAAACCAGAAUUUCAGCAGAGGACAGUGUUCUAACAAGGCCUACCUCUCAGGUUGUGAAAUCUAGGCUACUUUUUACAUAGGGUAUCAUGGUCAUAUAUACACAUUACUGCAAUCAAAAUAUUUAAAGAGCACUUUCAUCUUUUCCUGAAUCUCUCAAGGAACAUAAAUACACCCAAUAGCACUUCAUUGAAAGUGCUGUUCUUUUCCCCUCUUACUGUCACACAUCUUGUGGCCCUUCAGAAAUGUUUCCUCUACAAACCUACAAACCUCCUUUUUCUAAUCUGUGUCCCAGGUGUUCUUGGCACCUGCCCUGUCCAGGCAGCUUUGGUUUUUGUUCCCCUCCCCUCUCCUUCCCCGUCUCCAGUCCACCUACCCUAUCACUAAAGCCUGUGAACAUGGUUGACAAUAAAAGCAGAGAGUGAUAAAUAGGAAACCUGUGUUCUAGUGAAGGAACACAGGCAACAAACACAUAAGCAGUAAACCAGAAUUAUCAGCUAGAAUAUGUUUUCUGAUAAACAUAAUGCCACACAGAAAACAGAAGACGGUGAAACAAGAGGGCUGGGAGGAGAGGACUAGGCCACUGCAGAUUAGAAGCAGGAAAGACGUUUCUGAGGAAGGGACUUGAACUCUGACAUCUACAGGACAGGAGAAGGUUAGUCUAGCAAACAUCUGGGAGAAAAGUUCCCUAGGAAGAAGGAAUGUCCUCAAAGUAGAAAUAAGAUUAUCAUGAUUACAUGUAUACAGCAGAAGAGGAGAGAGAUGCCUGAAACUAUUUGGUAGAACUGCCUUCUUUUUUUUUUUUUUUUCAGUCUUCUAAAGAGAACCUGGUUUAAUAUGAUUAAAAAGUUGUGCUGAACAUUGUCACCCUCCCUUCUUCGUUUCCUAGUCUUCUUCACACAGGAUCAGUCUUGCUUUGUGGUCUGAGGUGAUCCCAGCUUUAUGCAGAGCCUUUUGCUUUCCCUUACACAGGGGUUUCCUCCUGAUAAGUCAUUAUGCUUUUAGUGCUUACUUAGCAUCUGCUUCUCAAACACCUUAAACUAGCAUGCCCUGCCACAGUACUAAAUAUUCAGUGACAAAAGUAGAACAUCUAUCAGUCGACAGAAGCAUCUCAACACCAUUAAUUUGAAAUUCCCCAACUGGUAAAAAACAAACCAGCAAUCAUUGUUCUAGAAAAGCAGACAUUAUAAAUAAGAUUCAUUGCAACUGAACACAGACCUUUAGUAACAGAACACGUGCAGAUUAAAACAAUCACAAGAAACCCUGUCCUCUCUCAAAUUGGCAAAGAUAAAAAAAUCAUCAUUCAGAGUCUGUACAGCUUCAGGGAAAUAGGACCCUUAUACACUGCUGUUGGAAGUGUAAAUUGAUACAACUUUUCUAGAAGGUAAUUCGUCAACACCCAUCAGCCUCUUAUAAAG
ensembl:lncRNA